rnacentral:rRNA from 1 species
AUAGCGUAUAUUAAAGUUGUUGUGGUUAAAAAGCUCGUAGUUGGAUCUCAGUUCGAGUCAGGCGGUCCACUUGCCAGUGGUUACUGCUUGACGGAACACUUUACCGACUUGUCCUAUGGUGCUCUUCACCGAGUGUCAUAGGCGGGCGGUACGUUUACUUUGAAAAAAUUAGAGUGCUCAAAGCAGGCUUAUAGCCCGAAUAAUGUUGCAUGGAAUAAUGGAAUAGGACCUCGGUUCUAUUUUGUUGGUCUUCGGAAUCUGAGGUAAUGAUUAAGAGGGACAGACGGGGGCAUUCGUAUUGCGGCGCUAGAGGUGAAAUUCUUGGACCGUCGCAAGACGAA